GUACGAUUUCCCGGCUAACGGUUACUAGCACAGCUUAUAACUGCUCAACCUUGCGGCGCGUCGGUGCAUUUUAGAUGCUGGUGAUGAAGUAUACCAAGUGAAUAGGGGGGUUGGGCUGAAGAGACGAUUUGCCCAGUGUGGUGAGGGUGCGCUGGAACUCCCCCGCCAGCCACUUGGUUUUGUCCACUCCCAUGGAACCGAUGCUGGAGAAUUGUCCCACCACAGGCCACUGGUCCUCGCCAGGGAUGCAGGUGGUCUGCUCGUAAAGCAACUGCAAACCGGGGGAGGGGUGGCCCCAACGCUCCAUGUCUGGCCCCACAUAUCUGCCAGGAGUGGAGCCCACCAGAUACACCCUGACCACACAUAGACUGGAUAAACGUCAUUUUUCCUAUAAUAUCGGUCUCUGCGUUACCAGAGAGCGUCGGCGUUUCACACAUUCAUGUGAUGACAAAAAUACGCAGAACCCUGUGUA